rnacentral:tRNA from 1 species
UUAACUGAAACCAAGUUAGAGGUAUAUUACUGUUAAUAAUAAAAUUGAAUUAUAAAUUCCAGUUAAG